rnacentral:rRNA from 1 species
CGAAUGCUGACAUAAGUAACGAUAAAGCGGGUGAAAAGCCCGCUCGCCGGAAGACCAAGGGUUCCUGUCCAACGUUAAUCGGGGCAGGGUGAGUCGACCCCUAAGGCGAGGCCGAAAGGCGUAGUCGAUGGGAAACGGGUUAAUAUUCCCGUACUUGGUGUUACUGCGAAGGGGGGACGGAGAAGGCUAUGUUGGCCGGGCGACGGUUGUCCCGGUUUAAGCGUGUAGGUGUGUGUUCCAGGUAAAUCCGGUUCACUUUAACACUGAGGCGUGACGACGAGGCACUACGGUGCUGAAGCAACAAAUGCCCUGCUUCCAGGAAAAGCCUCUAAGCAUCAGGUAACAUCAAAUCGUACCCCAAACCGACACAGGUGGUCAGGUAGAGAAUACCAAGGCGCUUGAGAGAACUCGGGUGAAGGAACUAGGCAAAAUGGUGCCGUAACUUCGGGAGAAGGCACGCUGACACGUAGGUGAAGUGAUUUACUCAUGGAGCUGAAGUCAGUCGAAGAUACCAGCUGGCUGCAACUGUUUAUUAAAAACACAGCACUGUGCAAACACGAAAGUGGACGUAUACGGUGUGACGCCUGCCCGGUGCCGGAAGGUUAAUUGAUGGGGUCAGCGCAAGCGAAGCUCCUGAUCGAAGCCCCGGUAAACGGCGGCCGUAACUAUAACGGUCCUAAGGUAGCGAAAUUCCUUGUCGGGUAAGUUCCGACCUGCACGAAUGGCGUAAUGAUGGCCAGGCUGUCUCCACCCGAGACUCAGUGAAAUUGAACUCGCUGUGAAGAUGCAGUGUACCCGCGGCAAGACGGAAAGACCCCGUGAACCUUUACUAUAGCUUGACACUGAACAUUGAGCCUUGAUGUGUAGGAUAGGUGGGAGGCUUUGAAGUGUGGACGCCAGUCUGCAUGGAGCCGACCUUGAAAUACCACCCUUUAAUGUUUGAUGUUCUAACGUGGACCCGUUACCCGGGUUGCGGACAGUGUCUGGUGGGUAGUUUGACUGGGGCGGUCUCCUCCUAAAGAGUAACGGAGGAGCACGAAGGUUGGCUAAUCCUGGUCGGACAUCAGGAGGUUAGUGCAAUGGCAUAAGCCAGCUUGACUGCGAGCGUGACGGCGCGAGCAGGUGCGAAAGCAGGUCAUAGUGAUCCGGUGGUUCUGAAUGGAAGGGCCAUCGCUCAACGGAUAAAAGGUACUCCGGGGAUAACAGGCUGAUACCGCCCAAGAGUUCAUAUCGACGGCGGUGUUUGGCACCUCGAUGUCGGCUCAUCACAUCCUGGGGCUGAAGUAGGUCCCAAGGGUAUGGCUGUUCGCCAUUUAAAGUGGUACGCGAGCUGGGUUUAGAACGUCGUGAGACAGUUCGGUCCCUAUCUGCCGUGGGCGCUGGAGAACUGAGGGGGGCUGCUCCUAGUACGAGAGGACCGGAGUGGACGCAUCACUGGUGUUCGGGUUGUCAUGCCAAUGGCACUGCCCGGUAGCUAAAUGCGGAAGAGAUAAGUGCUGAAAGCAUCUAAGCACGAAACUUGCCCCGAG